rnacentral:ncRNA from 1 species
AGGGAAGUCGGCAAAAUGGAUCUGUAACCUUGGGAAAAGGAUUGGCUCUGAGGGCUGGGCUCAGGGGUCCCAGUCCCGAACCCGUCGGCUGUUGGCGGACUGCUAAAGCUGCUCUCGAGGUGAGAGCGGGUCGCCGCGUGUCGGCUAGGGGACGGACUGGGAACGGCCUCUUCGGGGGCCUUCCCCGGGCGUUGAACAGUCGACUCAGAACUGGUACGAACAAGGGGAAUCCGACUGUUUAAUUAAAACAAAGCAUUUCUCAAUAUGAAGAAACAACCUAAUAGACAAUUAAUUCAAUGUCUC